rnacentral:lncRNA from 1 species
UUGCCUCCGGGUAUUUCUAAGGCAAAUUGGCCUUGUAGAAACCUAAUUGGGGACCUAACGAACGCGUUGAAACGCUCGGUUCGGCAAUCCGACGAGCGUACGUGAAGUUAUUGACGAAACUGUCGGUUUUGGUACAGAUAGCCGCAGCACGCGGGAUAAAGGUCUAAAAAUCAUGAGAUCGGAACCGGAGCACCUUGGAGUCAAGGAAUAAACUCCGGAAAAGACGGAUCGCGGUUCGGAGGUCGUUUGGAAGUCGCGCAAGAGUUCGGGCCAAACCGGGCAAUGGUUGUCGUGGGAGGCCGAUUGCAAGUGACUACAAGCAAUCGGAGCGCGAGUUAAGGUGGGUUGGUUUACCGAAGCGACUAGGUCGCCUUUAUGUCUAAGAAACUAAGAAUCCAUAUUGAUGCAUAUAAAUGUAAAUGAAGCAUGUAAAUGAUGCAUGCAGCUAAAUAAUGCAUGUUGAUAGUAUGAUGUAAAUGCUAAAUAGAAUGCAUUAUGAACAAGUUACAUAAUGCUAAAUAAUGUAAUGUAAAAAUGCUAGAAUGCAUAAUGAGCAAGUUAUAUGAUGCAUGUUGAUAGUAUGAUGUAAAUGCUAAAUAGAAUGCAUUAUAAGUAAGUUACAUAAUGCUAAAUAAUGUAAUAUAGAAAUGCUAGAAUGCAUAAUGAGCAAGUUAUAUGAUGCAUGUUUAAAGUAUGAUGUAAAUGCUAAGUAGAUGCAUAUAAAUGAUAUAUGAGAUUAUAAACGCAUGAUUAGCAUUAUGAGAUUAUAGAUGCAUGCUUAGCAUUGUGAGAUUAUAUAUGCAUAUGAACUUGGUUGAUAACUCUAGCUUGAUUAGAGAGAUAACAUUGGAAAAUGAGAAUUGAUAAAUCUAGAAUGAGUAGAAUGCUUAAUUGGACAAUUAGUAUGUGAAUUAGAUCGAGUGGCAUCUAACUUAGUGUUAAGGAACAUAGGUCGUGAGUAGACCUAGAAUCAAAUAGAUCGAGUGGCAACUAACCUAGUGUUAAUAAACAUAGGUCGUGAAAUGAAAAGUACUUAACCUAGAGUCAAGUGAACCUAGGUUGGAAAGAAUAAUGAUCCUAGUGUAAUAAACCUAGGUUAAGAAUGUGAAAGCAAUAAACCUAAUGGGUGAACUUAGGUUGAGUAAAGGCUUAGACCUAGAGAUGUCAGUUCCAUAGGGUUAAGAACAACCCCUAUGUGAUAUGAAAUGGAUUCCGGAAUCCCAAAGCUAAAAGGAUACACCCAAAGUGGUGUCGGGUGUGUGCGACGAUUUCGCCGCCCAAGGGCUAAAGAACCUUUGUCGUGGCGUGUGCGACGAUUUCGCCGCCGGAUGGUUAGCCAGUUUGUGGAUCCUACCGCCUGUUGACUGAACCACUGUCGUGGCGUGUGUGCGACGAUUUUGCCGCCGGGUGGCUAAGUCGUUGAACCUAGGCCGUUGUUGGGUGAGGUGCAAUUCGUUCGCCGCCAGACGGCUAGGACAGGAGUACGGUGAGCUGUUGCCAGCUGAGGUGCAUGUGAGAGUUCCUUCACCUCGAGCUAGACAGUGCGCGUACUAUCCGCGAUUGAUUGACUCAAGACCGAGUCGGGUGGCUUUGUUGACUAAGGUAAAGUGACCUUAGAGUAGAAUGCCAAAGGCUAAGAGAUAGCAUGGUUCAAGAAUGUUAAGAGUAAAGAACAGCUAAACGAUAAUGAAUAGCUAAAGAGUAAAGAAUGGCUAAAGAACAAUGAAUAGAUAAUGAAAGGAAUAGCUAAGAGCUAAAAGUAAGCAUUAAAUGGCAAGGAGUAAAGAAUGAUUAAGAACAUUAGUGUUAAAGUAACCUACUUGCAUGAUUACAGGUAUUGCAUAUUGCAUUUCGUGAGGCAUGACAUGUAUUUCAC